rnacentral:rRNA from 1 species
GUGGGGAAUCUUCCGCAAUGGACGAAAGUCUGACGGAGCAACGCCGCGUGAGUGAAGAAGGUUUUCGGAUCGUAAAGCUCUUUCGUUAGGGACGAACGUGCUCUUUGUGAAUAAUGAGGAGUAAUGACGGUACCUAAAUAAGAAGCCACGGCUAACUACGUGCCAGCAGCCGCGGUAAUACGUAGGUGGCAAGCGUUGUCCGGACUUAUUGGGCGUAAAGCGCGCGCAGGCGGGAUAUCAAGUCUGUCUUAAAAGUGCGAGGCUCAACCUCGUGAGGGGACAGAAACUGGUAUACUUGAGUGUCGGAGAGGAAAGUGGAAUUCCAAGUGUAGCGGUGAAAUGCGUAGAGAUUUGGAAGAACACCAGUGGCGAAGGCGACUUUCUGGACGAUGUCUGACGCUGAGGCGCGAAAGCUAGGGGAGCGAACGGGAUUAGAAACCCGAGUAGUCC